rnacentral:misc_RNA from 1 species
UUUCCGUAGGUGAACCUGCGGAAGGAUCAUUAACUAGUAUUGAAGUCCACGGGGAUCAGGCUUUCCGAAAGGAGGGUGGGGGGAUGUUUGGUUCCCCCUGCUUGGGCAGACUGGAGAGCAUUGUGUAGCCACUUUUGUUGGCUACGUUAUGUUUGGCCUCUGCUGAUCGAGCUUGUCACCUGAAUUCUACUACCCUUGCUUUUUGCGCACCCAUUGUUUCCUCGGUAGGCUUGCCUGCCAGUAGGACCAUUUAAAACCCUUUGUGAUUGCAAUCAGCGUCAGAAACAACGUAAUCGUUACAACUUUCAACAACGGAUCUCUUGGUUCUG